GUUAAAACCAGGAGUGUCUUCCCCACCACAAAGGUCAUCCAAAAUGCCUGCAAGCCAAUGACUUUGUUGUAAGCCAACAGAAACAUCAAGCCAGGCCAAAAUUUCCAGCUCAUCUUACCCAAAAAUAUAGAUUUCUGCUUAAACUCAAUAUUCCAGGGCUUCAAGAAAGAAUGGGAUCACAGCAAAAAUUGUAAUUCGUGUUUCACUGGUUCUGGUCUUUGAUAGAAGAUUCAAAACCCUCAGCGCCCUACAAAAUCCUCAUCAAAUGUUUUUGGGGAUCCCCAAGAAGUGCCUCACAAACAAGAAUACAUGUAGGGGCACCACGAUCUCUAACAAGGUGUGAUCCUGUUCUUCCGUCUUUCAUCAGAAACUGAACUUGCCACCUGAUAUCCCCACCGUCCGUGUAAGCGUUGUCCCUGAAGUACUUGAGGGCUCCCAAGGUGCCUGCCCUCCUCCUGCUUCGCCAGGGGUCCUCGGAACAAGUGCCCUAUUUCGUCUCCAUGGUACGACCUGCGAAACGGAGGUUACACAUUGGUUUUACACGUUGAGAAGGAGUGGUUGUGAAGGAGGAGGAAAAGGAAGGGAGAGCAGGGGGCAGAGAGAAGACAAAGGUUUGGGCCCUGCAGCCUGACGUGGGUCAGCAAGUGCUCUCGCCCAGGCCUCUGCCCCGGGAGCUGGACCCACGGCCAGGAUCUUGUCCCUGCAAGGCCAGCGUGCCCCGAAACCUGGCCUGAGGAGGACAUCAAUGGAAAUUCACACAACAGGAUGGUAAACAUGUAAGUCCAGCAUCCCC
rnacentral:lncRNA from 1 species